AUUCAGCUGACGAGCCCCAAAUAGGACGGAACUUGCGUCCUGGAU
rnacentral:hammerhead_ribozyme from 1 species